CAUUCGAAAAUAAUAAGUGUUAAAGUGAAGUUCUCCAGUGAAAGUAAAAAAGUUUGAUAGAGAGGUUUCUCUUGAAAUAGUGCAUAGUUGCUAUAUAUAAAGAUUACUCAACUGCAAUGAAAAAGUGUGCAGAAUCUGUGGGAAAGGCAAAACUGCGGAGCUAUAUUAUGGCACGUCGACUGAAAUAGUUGGUAGCGCCCUUUGAGCUUUUUGCUGUGUACAAGGAAAAGAUAAUCUGCUCGUCGUCAUCGUCGUGAGCACUUUUGAGGCAUUUUCACAUUGAGGAAAUGGUUAAACAGGAAAUCAAUGGCCAAGUUUUUCCCCACAUUCGGCUAGAGAAAUUACACUGUAGGCAGGCAGAGGCAGAUGCCAGGAGCUUGUAAUAAAAUUGCUGAGGCAAGCAAAAAUUAUAGCCAGACCCCGGAGUGUAUGUUCUGACCUGGAAUUGAGGAGUUUGGAGUUUAGGAAGACAGGUAUAAACCGAAACAGCGAAACCAGCUUUUUACUUGUUAUACUUGGGCGUUGAAAGUUGAUACGCGAUCGAACUUGAUCGCAAUGCGUGAGAAAAAGCCUUACAAUUAGCUCAAAAUGCUGCUUGUUCGGUCCCAUGUAGCCGUGAGAGUAUAUCUAAGCUAAACUGCGACCAAAUGUGUGUGUGUAUGUCGCGGCCUACACAGGGGUACUAAACAUCGUUUUUAUCAGAUUGUGAUUGCGUGGAUUGAAUAUAUAUAGGAACCCGUAUCGACUUCUCUGCUCUGCUAAGACUUGUUCGAAAGAAAGGCGCCCAAAUACAUACGUUAUAUAAACGGUCGUCUAUUAUUCACCUACCAUCGACCGUUAUCUCAAUACUGAUCGAAUAGAUACAACACUCUACUGACAUCGAUAGAUAUACAUAUAUAUCUAGUAUCUGGAGUAGCAACCGAUUGCGCGUUCAUUUCGCGCAAAGCAUAAACUGUAGAAUAUAUUUUAUUUACUUUAUAUAUUUUUUUUUCCUUUGUUAACGUAAACAUUUACGAGUACACGACAAGCGUGGCCUAACUCAUAAAAUACCUGAAACUGUAAAAAAUACAAAACAAUUUAUUUCUUCUGUUUUUGUACAAAUCCAAGAUUUAAGAAAACUUGUCUAUUGUUCUUGUAAUUACACUUGUCCAACUCACUUAUAGAAAAUGAGAAGAAAAAAAAGAAAAAAAAAAAUAUGAAAAAGAGCUCACCAAACAGAAAAGAAGCUACAAACAAAAAAGAAUAAAUGAAAUCUGAGAUCAAUAAAUUUCGAAACAAUUGUU
rnacentral:sRNA from 1 species